rnacentral:rRNA from 1 species
GGGACAACAGUUGGAAACGACUGCUAAUACCGCAUAAUCCCUGAGGGGGAAAGAUUUAUCGCUUUAAGAUUGGCCCGCGGAAGAUUAGGUAGUUGGUGGGGUAAAGGCCUACCAAGCCGACGAUCUAUAGCUGGUCUGAGAAGACGAACAGCCACAUUGGAACUGAGACACGGUCCAGACUCCUACGGGAGGCAGCAGUGAGGAAUAUUGGGCAAUGGAGGAAACUCUGACCCAGCCAUGCCGCGUGAGUGAAGAAGGUUUUCGAAUUGUAAAGCUCUUUCGGAUGGGACGAUGAUGACGGUACCAUCUAAAGAAGCCCCGGCAAACUUCGUGCCAGCAGCCGCGGUAAUACGAAGGGGGCAAGCGUUGUUCGGAAUUACUGGGCGUAAAGGGUGUGUAGGCGGAUUUGUAAGAUAGUGGUGAAAUACCUGAGCUCAACUUAGGAAUUGCCAUUAUAACUAUAGAUCUGGAGUGACAGAGAGGAUAUUGGAAUACCCAGUGUAGAGGUGAAAUUCGUAGAUAUUGGGUAGAACACCAGUGGCGAAGGCGAGUAUCUGGCUGUCAACUGACGCUGAGGCACGAAAGCAUGGGGAUCAAACAGGAUUAGAUACCCUGGUAGUCCAUGCUGUAAACGAUGAAUGCUAGUUGUCGGCAAAAGCCGGUGACG